rnacentral:tRNA from 1 species
CGCGGGCCUGCUGUACGGCAACGGCGGUGCCGGUGGGGCCGGCGGCAAUGGUGGGGAUACGACGGUGCCAUUGUUCGACUCCGGCGUCGGCGG